AUCAUACUCCCUCCGUCCCAAAAUUCUUGUCUUAGAUUUGUCUAGAUACGGAUGUAUCAAGUCACGUUUUAGUAUUUGAUACAUCCGUAUCUAGACAAAUUUAAGACAAGAAUUUUGGGACGGAGGGAGUAUUAG
rnacentral:pre_miRNA from 1 species